rnacentral:sRNA from 1 species
GUCAACCACCCCUCCUUAAAGGAGAGGCUUCGGCCUCUGGUUGACCAGCCUCAGUGAUCCCUACGGGGAGAACUACGUUGCGGAACAGGUUCAAGACCCACCGUCGGAUGCUUCCUCAGUCCGACGCUCUGG